rnacentral:rRNA from 1 species
AUUAAACGCUGGCGGCAUGCCUUACACAUGCAAGUCGAACGGUAGCGCGGGGCAACCUGGCGACGAGUGGCGAACGGGUGAGUAAAGCAUCGGAACGUGCCCUGGAAUGGGGGAUAACGUAGCGAAAGUUACGCUAAUACCGCAUAUUCUGUGAGCAGGAAAGCAGGGGAUCGCAAGACCUUGCGUUCUGGGAGCGGCCGAUGUCGGAUUAGCUAGUUGGUGGGGUAAAAGCCUACCAAGGCGACGAUCCGUAGCGGGUCUGAGAGGAUGAUCCGCCACACUGGGACUGAGACACGGCCCAGACUCCUACGGGAGGCAGCAGUGGGGAAUUUUGGACAAUGGGCGGAAGCCUGAUCCAGCCAUGCCGCGUGAGUGAAGAAGGCCUCGGGUUGGUUAAAGACUCUUUCUAGCCGGGAAGAAAAC